rnacentral:lncRNA from 1 species
UUCGAUCAAAUAGAGCUUCCUAUCCUACGUUUUUCUUUUUUUCCCACGGUAGCGAUAUUCCUUUGCUACUUCUUUCCUCGGCUAAUGGAAAAAAAUCCUUCUUUUUACCCUGUCUGGCGCCAUCCAUCUCCAAAUAGUAAAUGCGCUGCUGAGCUCAGAUGUCCGCUCGUCUGGCAAGUUGGCAGCAAGCACUUCCUCCCCUCUUUGUGUGGAAAAGCUUCUGAAAGCCUAUUAGUUAGUAUUAGUAAAAAACCUAGUUAAGGGGUCCGUAGUUGUCGCAAUCGCUCAUUGGUCUUCACCUCAAGUGCUUUCUUCAAUGAGUCCAAGUC